AUUGCUUAAUGGUGGAAGUUUGUGGUGAAUUGGCUUUAGCUGACCUGAUUUAAAAGUGAUGAUUUUGCUUGGAAUACAAAGAGCGUCUUAGACGGCCAAAAAAGUUUAAUGAAAAUUAUUGCUAUACACGUGGAGAGCUCCCAACGAUCUCUUAGGAGUUACUCAAACAGUGAAAUUUUUUGAAAAAAGUCGGAUACUCUCAAAAGCAAUUUUAAAUGCAAAAACUCAUAUGUGAACCAUGGCCAAUCAGAGAAAUCAACGAAAAAGUAUUUGGUGUGCUGAAUUACGAGUAUUCCAAAGCAUUAUUAAGCAAUGCUGCUGACAACAUAUCACCAAAUUAAAAUGAUGAUUACAAAAAAAAAUCUUGUAAUUUCUUCGGUGUCACAUUAUGAGAGUGGUUAAAAAAGGUUUGGUCCGGUUAAGUUUAAUGGCUCUGGAGAGAUCGCACGAAAACUAUUAUAUAUAUAGUCCUUUUUGAAGCCAUAGAAAAGAAGGACUCAUUUUAUCGAAUUUAUAAAUUUGUAAAAUGCUUAACAGCCAAUACAAAUUUGCACAGAAUUGAAUUCCGAUUCCSGCCAGUUGGAUGGAACGUCUGAAGCUUUUGCAGAUGGCGUCUGGUAAAAUUCCCAGCCUUACAGCAUAGAUGCCAAUAGGGAAAUACCCWGUUAAAAKCYCCACAACUAGGGAGAUGCUAGCCUUACUGAAGGCAAAAGCUUGACAUCAGUGCUUAAAUAAUCACCUCCAAAAUUCAAUCUCCUUUCAAUGAGAUCGCUGACUUCAUCUUAAACACGCAAUUAAAAAUCAAUGGUUAGAUUUCAAAGCAUCAUAGUAUACUAUCUUAUAAAGACUGCUUCCUUGCGUACACUAAUCCAAGAAUAAUCUUUUCGUUAUCGAAUUAUCUCCAAGUGCAAGGCACAUCGCAUAGCUAAGAGCAAAUCAACUAAAUUUUAGAGAGGUCUACGACUACGAAAUUUAACAACAAACAAGAGAUAAAUGUAUUUUUAAAUAUUUAUUUUUGAAAUACAUAUGGCGAUGGUGAA